ACGAUGUCUUUUUGGUGUUUGAUUUAAAAGCCCAACCUCAUCUCACUAUUCCAAUUCAUCCCCUGCCCUACGUCACUGUUUAUCACCUGCGGCGGCCUCCCCUUGCGCCUCCAUCGUCGCCUGCUUCAUUGUGGCCUUUUUCAGCAUCGCUUGCUCGUCUAGCAUCUCCCGCUCCUCCGGCGUCCCCUAGUCCUCCAUCGUUGCCUGCACCUCCAUAGUCGGGUGCUAUUUUCUUUUCUAGAGGCUGCAAGCAUGGAUGCAUUGGGAGAAACCGGUACUUGUAAUAUUGAGGAACAAGAAACUUGUAGGUCUUCAGUGAAUCCAGAAUUGUGGAGUACAACAUCCAAGAAAACGCAAUAUCACCCCAAAAUCAUGAGACAGCAAGCAAUUCAUGGCGAGGGAUAUAGAUAUGAUAUCACUCAUCUCACAAUGUUGAAGAGGGGAAGGUUGUUCGCUAUGAAGAUAGGUAUGCAGUGAAAUUUUUAAGCGUGAUUUUGUUCUGUUUACAAUCAAAAGGUUGGCAUGCAAUAAACUCUUCAAUGUUCUUCAUUCAAUUUUUGAUCCAUCUUAAACUUGAUGGGACACUAUAACUUAAAUUUAAUAUGUGAUUGCUUCUUUUAGUUUAUUUUUUUUUUUUUUACAAAAAAAUAGCCACUAUUUGUUAGACUUGUAAAAUGAAUUUUUAUUCACUAUA